GUGGUGCUCCUACUCAUUAGUAGUCUCCAGUUCCUUAGAACUUUCAAAGCCCAGGCCAUCUGUAGCUGAGAGUUGAUGCAUCGUGUUGUGGCCUCAUCUCUUAACGAGUUCCUUGAGAUCGUGUAUUUGCACAUCUUAUCCACCAAAGCAGUUAGCAGAGUCCCUUCCAUCGCAGAAGCUCAGUUAGACUCAAUUCAGCAGCUGUUGGCUGGCUGGUGGGCACGGAGUAAGGAGCUCAAGUUUCCACAAAACUGAUGUUUCCUUAUCCCCAGAGUGCUUCAUCCUCAGGAGCCAUUAAACUGAUGAUCCUAGAUGGACAAGCAAAAAAUGAUUAAAGUGCAAUAAACUAGAAGGACCUAAAGAAACAGGAAUUGUUGGGGCAAAAUGAGACUAUUUCUUAGAAGAAAAUGCCGUGGAGAAGUGAAAGUGGCAUGCAUCUAAGCAACAAAAGAAAAGGAGCACUGUUCAGGUCAUAGUGCAAACAGAGGAACUCAAGAAUCAGCUUGGAUGGAUGGUUUAAAAGACAUCUGAGUAGAGCUGGGCAUGAUGGGCAGGCCUGUAAGCACAUCACUCUGAUGGCAGAGGCAUCUCUGUGAGUUCAAGGCCAGCCUGGUCUAGAGAGUGAGUUCCAGGACAGAAAGGACUACAUAGAGAGACCUUAUCUCAAAAACAAACAAACAAAUGAAACAAAGUAAAAAGAAGAAAGUCUAAUCAUGAAGAAUUUAAGACUAAUUUGAAGUCUUCCAGUGAGACAAAUGGCAAGGCCUCCUGGGCAGAAUCUAAGGUCAUGUGACCAACUCAUCUCACUUGUAUUAGGUUUUCCCAGGAAAUCUGAUGGCUCUUUGCCUAUCAUCAAGUCUAGAGCCCC